CCCGGCACAAAAACCACGCGGGUUGGCCAACAGGAUCUGCAUGUUCCGCCCCCAGUGCCGGAUCGAUUUCCCGCACUUCAAUACCAAAAGGACCGUUCUGCCCGGCCAGCGGAUGGUUGAAAUCAACGGUAAUGGAGUCGCCGUUAAUUUCGCGGAUCACGCCCGCCAUCUCCCUGCCAUCCAUUGGAUGAACACCCGCCUGGGAACCAUCCACGGCACGUCGGUCGGCGAACUGCUGGCGUGGAGAUACCCUGGUAGUCCACGCCGUAAACGAUGUCGACUUGGAGGUUGUGCCCUUGAGGCGUGGCUUCCGGAGCUAACGCGUUAAGUCGACCGCCUGGGGAGUACGGCCGCAAGGUUAAAACUCAAAUGAAUUGACGGGGGCCCGCACAAGCGGUGGAGCAUGUGGUUUAAUUCGAUGCAACGCGAAGAACCUUACCUGGUCUUGACAUCCACAGAACUUUCCAGAGAUGGAUUGGUGCCUUCGGGAACUGUGAGACAGGUGCUGCAUGGCUGUCGUCAGCUCGUGUUGUGAAAUGUUGGGUUAAGUCCCGCAACGAGCGCAACCCUUAUCCUUUGUUGCCAGCGGUCCGGCCGGGAACUCAAAGGAGACUGCCAGUGAUAAACUGGAGGAAGGUGGGGAUGACGUCAAGUCAUCAUGGCCCUUACGACCAGGGCUACACACGUGCUACAAUGGCGCAUACAAAGAGAAGCGACCUCGCGAGAGUAAGCGGACCUCAUAAAGUGCGUCGUAGUCCGGAUUGGAGUCUGCAACUCGACUCCAUGAAGUCGGAAUCGCUAGUAAUCGUGGAUCAGAAUGCCACGGUGAAUACGUUCCCGGGCCUUGUACACACCGCCCGUCACACCAUGGGAGUGGGUUGCAAAAGAAGUAGGUAGCUUAACCUUCGGGAGGGCGCUUACCACUUUGUGAUUCAUGACUGGGGUGAAGUCGUAACAAGGUAACCGUAGGGGAACCUGCGGUUG
rnacentral:rRNA from 1 species